UUUUUUAGAGAGUUUGAUCCUGGCUCAGGGUGAACGCUGGCGGCGCGCUUAAUGCAUGCAAGUCGAACGUGCCUUCGGGCAAGUGGCAGACGGCUGAGUAACGCGUGAGUAACACACCCUUCGGUGGGGUAUAGCUUCGGGAAACUGAGGGUAAUCCCGCAUACGAUCCUUUUCCCUUGGGGGAAGGAUGAAAGCCUUCGGGCGCCGGAGGAGUGGCUCGCGUCCUAUCAGGUAGUUGGUGGGGUAACGGCCCACCAAGCCGAUGACGGGUA
rnacentral:rRNA from 1 species